rnacentral:miRNA from 1 species
CCCCAGAUGUUGCUGAACUACAACUCCCAUGAUUCUCUGGCUAUGUGACUACAAUCAUGGGAGUUGUAGUUCAGCAACAUCUGGGG